UGGGGUGCCAAGUGAUCCUCUGACAACUUCUCAGUCCUUCCUUUUCUCCUCAGGUGUUGCCUCUACUGUGGUUUAGGUAGCUGUGCCCCAAGACCCAGGUGUGGAAGGCUUGAUGUCCAGCCUGUGGCACUAUUAGAAGGUGACAGAACCUUUAAGAAGUGGAGCAAAAGGGAGGUCUUCAGAUCACCAGGGACAUGACCUUUCAGGGGACAGUGGGACCCCAACUGCUUCCUCUUUUAUUUGUUUUCCUUUUUUGGCCCCUGGCCACAAGCUGAGCAGUUUUGCUCCACCAUUCCCUCCUGCCAUGAUGUGCUGCCUCAUCCAAAAUAAUGGAGCCAAUUGAUCAUGAACUGCAACCUCUAAAACUGCACAGAGAUGGUUAUUACACCAUCACAAAUUAUUCCUACUCUGAUUUUUAGCCUAAAUUCAGUGCUCAGUUUCCCAAACUUUGCCAUUCAAACAACAACUCAUCUCUUCCAACAUUCCACACACAACAGAGGCUCACUGGAUUUCCAACUGUGAUCUCAGCUGUGGAUUUUGAAGCCUCUGCACUGAAACUUCUUUGUUCUGGGCCAGAGCUUCUCAGACUUCUACUGCUGUUAGUCCAUUGUGCUACUAUAACAAAACAUCUGAGGCCAGAGUCUACUGUGAAGUUGAAUUAGCAUAAGAUUUGAUUGUCACUGGCAAAACUGCCACCACACUGUCCUGACAUGGCAGAUCCUCUCAUGGAAUCAUAAUGAGAGAAAUCUAUGUGUAUCUUCUUGGUUCAACCACAGCAAACUUAGGGUGCCCAGGAAGGUUCCUCCAGCAUGAAAGUGUGGCCAGAAGGCCAUGCACCUAAAGUGUGAAAGCCAUGAUGCUGUCCUCAGUGUCAGGUUUUCCCUGGCUGCUGGAGAAAUGCUGAUGGUUUUUCAUUCAAAAACCAAGAGAUCUUCCUGAGUAACAGAAUAUUUUGGCAAUUU